AUCUGAAGCCAUCAUCCGUUCCGUCGGAGAACCUUCCAAAAGGCUCACACGAUCGUGUGGUGAAGACCCGGAAGCCGCCUAAAGGUGACAGAGAGAACCCAUCCCUCGAUGAGUACAGCCCCAGCACUCUCAGCCAGGUUGACCAUGAAAGCUGCAACGGAGCACGCCUGAGGGCCGAGCACGUCAUUGUUCAAGAAGACUGGACCGAGAAGUCGCUGC